rnacentral:miRNA from 1 species
GCAGACACAUUCCAGCCAAUCAGCAGCAGACCCUCCCUCCCAGACCCUUCCACCUCCUGGACAGCAUCCAUUUUACAUUCAUUGUGAAGCUGCAUUCUUAAUGAGCUGUCCAGGAGGUGGGAGGGUCUGGGAGGGAGGGUCUGCUGCUGAUUGGCUGCUCUGCACUA